AUUAGCUUAAGUAGGUCAGCGUUCACCCUCCAUUGCUUUGCUUGAUUCCAAAUCCAGGCUGUCCCAAUAAUCUCUACCGUCCAUUCACACAUCACAAACAAUCUCCACCGUAAGCUCAUAUUUAUUGAAAAAGAUACUCCAUCUAACUCUUGCUUCUUUUGUACCAAAGAAAAUUCAUUCUCUCUUCUAUUCUAUUCACUUUCUACUAAGAAAAUGAAGAUGAGGAUGAUUAUGAUUUUGUUUCUGUUGGUAAUCAUUGGGGGUUUUGUUCAUGGAGAUGAGAAUGAGUCAUUCAGGAAGCAACCCACACUAGUGAAGACGGUGAAGGGUACCAAGAUGUGUGUGAAGGAUUGGGAGUGCAACAAAUUGUCUAAAUUUUGUUGUAAUUUGACAAUUACUGAUUAUCUGGAUGUUGACCAAUUUGAGCUCCUUUUCACUAAGAGGAACUCACCCGUAGCUCAUGCUGUUGGAUUCUGGGAUUAUGGAUCUUUCAUUAGGGCUGCAGCACUUUACCAGCCUCUUGGAUUUGGUACCACCGGUGGUAAGAAAAUGCAGAUGAAGGAGAUUGCUGCUUUUUUUGGACAUGUCGGUAGCAAAACUUCUUGUGGUUAUGGUGUCGCCACUGGCGGACCACUCGCUUAUGGUCUAUGCUAUAACAAAGAAAUGAGUCCCAGCCAAGAUUACUGUGAUGAAUACUUCAAAUUAACCUACCCAUGCACUCCUGGAGCCAGAUAUUACGGUCGUGGUGCCUUGCCUAUCUACUGGAACUACAAUUAUGGAGCUAUUGGUGAAGCCCUCAAGCUUAAUCUCUUGGAUCAUCCUGAAUACAUUGAACAAAAUGCUACCAUGGCUUUCCAGGCUGCCAUUUGGAGGUGGAUGAACCCAAUGAAGAAGGGUCAGCCUUCAGCUCAUGAUGCCUUUGUGGGCAACUGGAAGCCCACAAAGAAUGAUACUUUGUCUAAACGAGUUCCUGGUUUCGGUACCACCAUGAAUAUUCUCUAUGGUGAUGGUGUUUGUGGCCAAGGUGAUGUUGACGCAAUGAACAACAUCGUCUCCCAUUACCUCUACUACCUUGACUUGAUGGGGGUUGGUCGCGAGGAAGCAGGACCUCACGAAGUACUCAACUGCGCCGAACAAAAACCUUUUAACCCAACCGCUGUUGCUGCUUCUUGAGAUCAUCCUACUUUAGCCCCGCCCAUACAAUAAACGUUGGGAAUCAUAAUUGCCAUUCUAGUUGUUCUAUCAUGUAAUAUUUUUGGACU
rnacentral:misc_RNA from 1 species